rnacentral:rRNA from 1 species
GCGUGACCAACCUGCCCAUGCUCCAGAAUAGCUCUUGGAAACGGGUGGUAAUGCUGGAUGCUCCAACUUGACGCAUGUCUUGUUGGGAAAGUGUUUAGUGGCAUGGGAUGGGGUCGCGUCCUAUCAGCUUGUAGGCGGGGUAAUGGCCCACCUAGGCUUCGACGGGUAGCCGGCCUGAGAGGGCGGACGGCCACAUUGGGACUGAGAUACGGCCCAGACUCCUACGGGAGGCAGCAGAC